GUGCGCAGCAGCCGCGGUACUACCGGCAGCACGAGUGAUGGCCGAUAUUAUUGGGCCUAAAGCGUCCGUAGCCGGCCGAACAAGUCCGUUGGGAAAUCGACGCGCUCAACGCGUCGGCGUCCGGCGGAAACUGUUCGGCUUGGGGCCGGAGGACCGAGGGGUACGUCCGGGGUAGGAGUGAAAUCCUGUAAUCCUGGACGGACCGCCGGUGGCGAAAGCGCCUCGGGAAGACGGACCCGACAGUGAGGGACGAAAGCUGGGAUCUCGAACCGGAUUAGAAACCCCUGUAGUCC
rnacentral:rRNA from 1 species